GAAAAUCGCACUGGAACCCCGCAGAACUAACAAUCGAACUAACGUGCAAUGUUUCAAAUGGUUUAUAGAUAGUUCAGAAGGCUAAACAUAGGUGUAGUUAACAACAGAGGAGCAACUGAUGAUUUCAUCAAAGUGGUCAUAAUAGUGGCGUCAUCCAUUCUGGCAUUUAUUACACUCCUGGAAGUCUCAAAGCAAAACUAUGUGUAGAAGGCCUGGAACUUGCUUAUAAAUAUUGCGAUGAAAAAAAUAUACCUUACAAAAAGUGUGGAAAGUUUUUCAGAUUCUUUCUCAGUUGACGAGGACGUCAAGUUUAUCAGGACGGCCGAUUGUGGUGUACGGAGCGUCAUCACUCAACAGAAAAUAAGAAGCUAUCUGAUUCCCGCCAUUAAAACUGUAUUCAGUGCUGUAAUAGCGUUUAUCCAUGUAA